GUGGGGAAUCUUGCGCAAUGGGCGAAAGCCUGACGCAGCCAUGCCGCGUGAGCGAUGAAGGCCUUAGGGUUGUAAAGCUCUUUCAGCUGGGAAGAUAAUGACUGUACCAGCAGAAGAAGCCCCGGCUAACUCCGUGCCAGCAGCCGCGGUAAUACGGAGGGGGCUAGCGUUGUUCGGAAUUACUGGGCGUAAAGCGCACGUAGGCGGACCGGAAAGUCAGAGGUGAAAUCCCAGGGCUCAACCUUGGAACUGCCUUUGAAACUCCUGGUCUUGAGGUCGAGAGAGGUGAGUGGAAUUCCGAGUGUAGAGGUGAAAUUCGUAGAUAUUCGGAGGAACACCAGUGGCGAAGGCGGCUCACUGGCUCGAUACUGACGCUGAGGUGCGAAAGCGUGGGGAGCAAACAGGAUUAGAAACCCCUGUAGUCC
rnacentral:rRNA from 1 species